rnacentral:rRNA from 1 species
AUGAAGCUUCUUCCGGCCGCCCUCGGCCUCGUCGUCCUCCUCAUCCUCGUUCUAAAUCUCAAUAGUGUGGAGGCCCGGCCAGCCCCUGCCGGCGGCCAUCAGAACAAGUCGUCCAGCAACACCUUCUUCGUCUUCGGGGACGACUUCGCCGACAACGGGAACCUCCCACCGAACCCGUCACCAAGAUGUCGCGGCAAUGGGCCUACCCCUACGGCUCCGUGUAUACCGAUGCCCAUGGGUUUCCGCGACCAAAUACUCCGUCUGGCCGCUUCUCCAACUGCAAAAUCCAGUCAGAUUUCAUUGAUUAAUGCUUAUAUUGGAAAGGUGACAAAAGAGGUUGCGGCUAAUGUGGAGCAAUUGUUGAAGCUCGGGGUGAAAAAAGUUCUUGUCAACAACUUGCACCCUAUCGGUUGCACGCCGUCACAAACCCGAACCAAUAACUACACCGCGUGCGAUAUUUUUGGAAAUUUGGGUGCAUCAAUUCACAACGAUAACCUGAAACAAGUCAUGACAGUAAAGAAGAAUGUCCAGAUCAUCGACCUAUACACCUCAUUUACUAGUAUUGUGGAUCAUGCGCCAGGUAAAGGCUCGGAUCUAUCUAAGCAAUUCAAGCGCAAACUGUCGCCCUGUUGCGAGAGUUUGGAUUCGAAUGGCUAUUGCGGACAACAAGGCGAGUCGUCCUCAGAGCUUCUAUACACCGUGUGCGACAAGUCCGACAAAUUUUUCUAUUGGGACGACAUGCACCCCACACAUGCAGGAUGGGAGGCUAUCAUGAAACAGUUGGAAAAGCCCUUGAAGGAGUUUGUAGAUCAAGAGUAG